UCUUGCACUUGCCCUUCUUCUCGCGCUGCUGGAACUUGCGCAGCCGCCGCGCCCACGUGUCCCGCCACUGGAUCACCAGGCUGCUCUUGUCCGCCACGAUGCCGCUCUGGUCGGGCGAGUCCUCCGCGUUGCCCAGCAGUAGGUACUUCUUGAGGGGCUUGAUUUUGGGGCACUUGCAGGCGAUGUCCCGCGAGCGGAUCCACAGGUUCUGGUCACCGCGGCGGAUGCGGCUGGUGCCCUGCUUGUACACGGAGAUGAUGUUCACCGUAAACUUCCACCAGUCCCCCGCCUUGUCCGCCUUGAGGAUGUGGAUCUGGACGGCUGCAAGGAAGCACAGGCAGGAGGGUGGGCCACGGGUGCCGCCUGGACCCCGAGCUCCUGCGACCAGGAGGGCCAGGGAUGGGGCGGCCUGUGUGAUGGAGAAGGAAAAGGAGACCCAGAGCUGGGAAGUGACUGCACGGGGUACCCGACUGGGGAGUGGGUGUGUGGUGGCAAAGCUGAUACUGGGGCCAAGGCCGCUGUUCCCAGAAGCCUUAUGUCCUGUGUUGAAGGUGCCACCCAGCACUGUCUUUGGGGACAAUCCCCUUUAGGGUCCAGGAAGGUGCUGUAGGUACUGACCACAUCCCCAGAACUUGGCAGAAUCCAGCUGCCGGGGCAGGUGCCCUCCAUGAGCAUAGCACUGGCGCCUCGGCACAGGAUGGGGGGAACCUCCUCAGAUGGUACCCCCUGGGCAUUUCCAAAGGCCUCGUCACUUAACAUCAAGCCUCAUGACACCCCUAGACAUACAGCCUUGCCCUUGAUCCAAUCUCAGAAAACCAGAAUGGGGUCUCAGUGCCCAGGUGCAGUGCACCCUGAACAGCCCUUCAGGGUGGCUGCAGCGUCUCUACCGGAGUCCAGGAUCCUUGUACUGCCCCCCUCCCAUCCCUGCCAGUCUGCCUUGUCUCCCUGUCCUCAGGCCAUUCCCCUCCCUUUCAAUUCUCUGCUACUCUUUCCCUGAGUAGAAGGGGUUCUCAAGCUGGAGCAGGCAUCAGAAUCCCCUGGAGGGCUUGUCAAACACAUUGCUGGCCUCACCCCAAUUUCCAAUUCAAUAGAUGUGGACUGGGGCCCAGGACCGCACACCUCUCACACAUUCCCAGAUGGUGCUGACCCAGGGAACACACUUUGAGAAUCGAUGCUCUAGUAAAUGUUAACAGAUGUUCUUUCUGCAGGAUAUUAAGAGAUACUUCAUAAGAGGAGGACACACUUUUUUGUUUUAAGGGGGGGGAUUUUGCUCAAAUAUGUGAAAUACUGGCUCAAACAAAGGAAGUCGCCUUAGUGCAGGACUUUUCUGAGCCUUUAAUCUACAAACUGUGUGCACACACGCGUGUGUUGGCUUCCCAAACAACUCUGAGUGCAGGACCCUUUGGCUGGUGCAUCUCAAGGCACCAGAGCCCCAUGGAGCCUACCUGGGGAACUUCUUGGGGGGGACACAACCCUUCCAGGGGUAAGUGCAGAGGUCUCUGUUGUACUAACCCCCAUCCAAGGGAAACUUGGCAUCCUUCCCCAUCCCUGUGGUCAGAACAUGGCGCCUUCCCCUUGCCACCACGUCCUAUACCCCUGGACAGGCUGAAGAUCAUGGUCCUGAGCCCGCCUGAGAAAGGAGCUUGUCUCCCCAGGUUACAGGUGAAGAGACCGAGACAAGGUGCACUCCAGCCACAAGGACAUGUCCCCAGGGAAUGCCAAGAGGUCAUCACCUGCCCACAUCGCUCUGGGCACUGGGCCCACCCACAGCUCGGCCUGGCCGGCCUCUCUCAAGCUGUUCCUGGGCAUCCUCAACUUUGCACUCCAAAGAAUGGCUGCCAUGGCAACCGUUUCCAUGUUUUUGUCACCAAGGGACUCAACACUCAGUGUGAACUCUGAGGGUGGGCCCUAAUCCAAUAUGACUGGAGUCCUCAUAAGAAGAGAUUAGGACAGAGACACGCACGGAGGGACGACCACCUGAAGACACAGCAAAAAGACGGCCGCCCACAAGCCCAGGAGAGAGGCCUCAGAGGAAACCAACCCUGACGACGCCUUGAUCCAGUACUUCUAAACUCCAAAACUGGGAGAAAAUGAGUUUCUGUUGUUUGA